GGAUGCGAUCAUAUCAGCACUAACGCACCGGAUCUCAUCAAAACUCCGCAGUUAAGCGUGUUUGGGCGAGAGUAGUACUAGGAUGGGUGACCUCCCGGAAAGUCCUCCUGUUGCAUCCC
rnacentral:rRNA from 1 species